ACUUUCUCCAUCACUCUCAUCUCCAUGAUAUUCUACCUGUACAUGUUUGCAUGUAUCAUGCAUACAUGAGUUUCAUGAGUUGGAAUGAUUUAUUUGGGAGUCAUAUUUCUGCCGACAAGAUCAAAAAUUAAAGAUGUUGAAAUUUUCAAGAGAUGAUGUUUACAUUUUAGAUAUUUAGACACAAAUCUUCAGAGUCAAAAUCCAGCUGUGUUGUGAGCUAUAUUUUUUGGACCGUACGCAUAUUGGAAUUAGACACAUUGUGAAAGGUCUUACAGUUACAUUCCCAAAUAAAAAGGAGUUAUACAUUUGAAAAAAUGAGGAGAAACCAAA